ACGGGUGAGUAACACGUGGGCAACCUGCCCUUGAGACUGGGACAACUUCGGGAAACCGGAGCUAAUACCGGAUAAUAUAAGGAACCUCCUGGUUCCUUAUUGAAAGAUGGUUUCGGCUAUCACUUAAGGAUGGGCCCGCGGCGCAUUAGCUAGUUGGUGAGGUAACGGCUCACCAAGGCGACGAUGCGUAGCCGACCUGAGAGGGUGAUCGGCCACACUGGGACUGAGACACGGCCCAGACUCCUACGGGAGGCAGCAGUAGGGAAUCUUCCACAAUGGACGAAAGUCUGAUGGAGCAACGCCGCGUGAGUGAUGAAGGCCUUCGGGUCGUAAAGCUCUGUUGUUAGGGAAGAACAAGUGCGAGAGUAACCGCUCGCACCUUGACGGUACCUAACCAGAAAGCCACGGCUAACUACGUGCCAGCAGCCGCGGUAAUACGUAGGUGGCAAGCGUUAUCCGGAAUUAUUGGGCGUAAAGCGCGCGCAGGUGGUUUCUUAAGUCUGAUGUGAAAGCCCACGGCUCAACCAUGGAGGGUCAUUGGAAACUGGGGAACUUGAGUGCAGAAGAGGAAAGUGGAAUUCCAA
rnacentral:rRNA from 1 species